GGGGGGCGGGGUGCUAUACAUGCAGUCGACGCACAGCGAAAGGUGCUUGCACCUUUCAAGUGAGUGGCGAACGGGUGAGUAACACGUGGACAACCUGCCUCAAGGCUGGGGAUAACAUUUGGAAACAGAUGCUAAUACCGAAUAAAACUUAGUGUCGCAUGACACAAAGUUAAAAGGCGCUUCGGCGUCACCUAGAGAUGGAUCCGCGGUGCAUUAGUUAGUUGGUGGGGUAAAGGCCUACCAAGACAAUGAUGCAUAGCCGAGUUGAGAGACUGAUCGGCCACAUUGGGACUGAGACACGGCCCAAACUCCUACGGGAGGCUGCAGUAGGGAAUCUUCCACAAUGGGCGAAAGCCUGAUGGAGCAACGCCGCGUGUGUGAUGAAGGCUUUCGGGUCGUAAAGCACUGUUGUAUGGGAAGAACAGCUAGAAUAGGAAAUGAUUUUAGUUUGACGGUACCAUACCAGAAAGGGACGGCUAAAUACGUGCCAGCAGCCGCGGUAAUACGUAUGUCCCGAGCGUUAUCCGGAUUUAUUGGGCGUAAAGCGAGCGCAGACGGUUUAUUAAGUCUGAUGUGAAAGCCCGGAGCUCAACUCCGGAAUGGCAUUGGAAACUGGUUAACUUGAGUGCAGUAGAGGUAAGUGGAACUCCAUGUGUAGCGGUGGAAUGCGUAGAUAUAUGGAAGAACACCAGUGGCGAAGGCGGCUUACUGGACUGCAACUGACGUUGAGGCUCGAAAGUGUGGGUAGCAAACAGGAUUAGAUACCCUGGUAGUCCACACCGUAAACGAUGAACACUAGGUGUUAGGAGGUUUCCGCCUCUUAGUGCCGAAGCUAACGCAUUAAGUGUUCCGCCUGGGGAGUACGACCGCAAGGUUGAAACUCAAAGGAAUUGACGGGGACCCGCACAAGCGGUGGAGCAUGUGGUUUAAUUCGAAGCAACGCGAAGAACCUUACCAGGUCUUGACAUCCUUUGAAGCUUUUAGAGAUAGAAGUGUUCUCUUCGGAGACAAAGUGACAGGUGGUGCAUGGUCGUCGUCAGCUCGUGUCGUGAGAUGUUGGGUUAAGUC
rnacentral:rRNA from 1 species